AGAGUUUGAUCCUGGCUCAGAUUGAACGCUGGCGGCAUGCCUUACACAUGCAAGUCGAACGGUAACGCGGGGCAACCUGGCGACGAGUGGCGAACGGGUGAGUAAUGCAUCGGAACGUGCCCAGUAGUGGGGGAUAGCCCGGCGAAAGCCGGAUUAAUACCGCAUACGACCUACGGGUGAAAGCGGGGGACUCGCAAGAGCCUCGCGCUAUUGGAGCGGCCGAUGUCAGAUUAGCUAGUUGGUGGGGUAAAAGCCUACCAAGGCGACGAUCUGUAGCUGGUCUGAGAGGACGACCAGCCACACUGGGACUGAGACACGGCCCAGACUCCUACGGGAGGCAGCAGUGGGGAAUUUUGGACAAUGGGCGCAAGCCUGAUCCAGCCAUGCCGCGUGCGGGAAGAAGGCCUUCGGGUUGUAAACCGCUUUUGUCAGGGAAGAAACGCUCUGGGCUAAUACCCCGGGGUAAUGACGGUACCUGAAGAAUAAGCACCGGCUAACUACGUGCCAGCAGCCGCGGUAAUACGUAGGGUGCAAGCGUUAAUCGGAAUUGCUGGGCGUAAAGCGUGCGCAGGCGGUUAUGCAAGACAGAUGUGAAAUCCCCGGGCUCAACCUGGGAACUGCAUUUGUGACUGCAUAGCUAGAGUACGGUAGAGGGGGAUGGAAUUCCGCGUGUAGCAGUGAAAUGCGUAGAUAUGCGGAGGAACACCGAUGGCGAAGGCAAUCCCCUGGACCUGUACUGACGCUCAUGCACGAAAGCGUGGGGAGCAAACAGGAUUAGAUACCCUGGUAGUCCACGCCCUAAACGAUGUCAACUGAUUGUUGGACGGCUUGCUGUUCAGUAACGAAGCUAACGCGUGAAGUUGACCGCCUGGGGAGUACGGCCGCAAGGUUAAAACUCAAAGGAAUUGACGGGGACCCGCACAAGCGGUGGAUGAUGUGGUUUAAUUCGAUGCAACGCGAAAAACCUUACCUACCCUUGACAUGUCAAGAAUCUUGCAGAGAUGUGAGAGUGCUCGAAAGAGAACUUGAACACAGGUGCUGCAUGGCCGUCGUCAGCUCGUGUCGUGAGAUGUUGGGUUAAGUCCCGCAACGAGCGCAACCCUUGUCAUUAGUUGCUACGAAAGGGCACUCUAAUGAGACUGCCGGUGACAAACCGGAGGAAGGUGGGGAUGACGUCAGGUCCUCAUGGCCCUUAUGGGUAGGGCUACACACGUCAUACAAUGGCCGGUACAGAGGGCUGCCAACCCGCGAGGGGGAGCUAAUCCCAGAAAACCGGUCGUAGUCCGGAUCGCAGUCUGCAACUCGACUGCGUGAAGUCGGAAUCGCUAGUAAUCGCGGAUCAGCUUGCCGCGGUGAAUACGUUCCCGGGUCUUGUACACACCGCCCGUCACACCAUGGGAGCGGGUUCUGCCAGAAGUAGUUAGCCUAACCGCAAGGGGGGCGAUUACCACGGCAGGGUUCGUGACUGGGGUGAAGUCGUAACAAGGUA
rnacentral:rRNA from 1 species